UCCGGUUGAUCCUGCCGGACCUGACUGCUAUCGGAUUGAUACUAAGCCAUGCGAGUCAUUGUAGCAAUACAAGGCAGACGGCUCAGUAACGCGUAGUCAAUCUACCCUAUGGACGGGGAUAACCUCGGGAAACUGAGAAUAAUACCCGACAGAACAUUAUGCCUGGAAUGGCUUAUGUUUUAAAUGAUUUAUCGCCGUAGGAUGGGACUGCGGCCUAUCAGUUUGUUGGUGAGGUAAUGGCCCACCAAGACUAUUACAGGUACGGGCUCUGAGAGGAGUGGCCCGGAGAUGGGUACUGAGACACGGACCCAGGCCCUAUGGGGCGCAGCAGGCGAGAAAACUUUGCAAUGUGCGAAAGCACGACAAGGUUAAUCCGAGUGGUUUCUGCUAAAGAAACCUUUUGUUAGUCCUAGAAACACUGACGAAUAAGGGGUGGGCAAGUUCUGGUGUCAGCCGCCGCGGUAAAACCAGCACCUCAAGUGGUCAGGAUGAUUAUUGGGCCUAAAGCAUCCGUAGCUUGCUUUGUAAGUUCUCGGUUAAAUCCAUGCGCUUAACGUAUGGGCUGCCGGUAAUACUGCAAAGCUAGGGAGUGGGAGAUGUAGACGGUACUCGGUAGGAAGGGGUAAAAUCCUUUGAUCUAUUGAUGACCACCUGUGGCGAAGGCGGUCUACCAGAACACGUCCGACGGUGAGGGAUGAAAGCUGGGGGAGCAAACCGGAUUAGAUACCCGGGUAGUCCCAGCUGUAAACUAUGCAAACUCAGUGAUGCAUUGGCUUGUGGCCAAUGCAGUGCUGCAGGGAAGCCGUUAAGUUUGCCGCCUGGGAAGUACGUACGCAAGUAUGGAACUUAAAGGAAUUGGCGGGA
rnacentral:rRNA from 1 species